GACGAACCGAGCGAACGUUGUUCGGAAUCACUGGGCUUAAAGGGCGCGUAGGCGGGCUGCCGCGUCCGGGGUGAAAUCCCACGGCUCAACCGUGGAACGGCCCCGGGUACGGGCGGCCUCGAGGAAGGUAGGGGCGUGCGGAACUGUGGGUGGAGCGGUGAAAUGCGUUGAGAUCCACAGGAACUCCGGUGGCGAAGGCGGCACGCUGGACCUUUUCUGACGCUGAGGCGCGAAAGCCAGGGGAGCGAACGGG
rnacentral:rRNA from 2 species